AGAGCGUCGGUGCUUUUUGAGGUUAUAUUUGUUUGCUUGCAGAUAUUUUCUAGUAAAGCGUAUGUUUGGUGAUUAUAAUUAUAAACGCUAACAUUUAAAAUGGCUAAGCAUCAUCCAGAUUUAAUUUUCUGCCGUAAACAGCCGGGUGUUGCUAUCGGCCGUCUUUGUGAGAAAUGUGAUGGGAAGUGCGUGAUCUGUGACUCGUAUGUACGUCCGUGCACGUUGGUGCGAAUCUGCGACGAAUGCAACUAUGGGUCCUACCAGGGCAGAUGCGUUAUUUGCGGCGGGCCCGGCGUCUCGGACGCUUAUUAUUGCAAAGAAUGCACUAUACAGGAGAAAGAUAGAGAUGGAUGUCCGAAGAUUGUGAACUUAGGCAGUUCCAAGACAGAUCUGUUCUAUGAAAGGAAGAAAUAUGGAUUCAGGAGACACUAGCAGCAAUAAAUUAGUACUUCAUUACUGUGAAUAUGACCAGAGAUACACAUUCCUGCUUUUUUUUUAUUUUUUUUUUUAUUGGAGGGUUUUUUAUAUACAAACUAAAUAAGUCACCCUCAAGUAUUCACAACAAGUACAGCGGGCUUAGCACCAUAAGCGCGUCCUCGCCUCGACAUACGUCACCCGUCACUCUCUAAUAAUAAUAAUAACAAAGUUUAUUGAGGUAAAAUCUACGACACACAUAUACAUUUACAACAUUAAAAUAUACACACAGUACUGCACAGAAAGAGACAGAUGAUCUCUGUCGCGGCGAGAAAGAGUCUAGUGAUAGAGUGCUAAGCCCACCGGUCGUUAUAUAUUUUAAGGCUGUCUGCAAUAGGGUAGUUUCCAACUAGUUAAAUCAGUUACUUAAACAUCAAAACUUGAAAUUACUAUGGAAUUUGUAUGAAAAAGCAACCUGUGACAUCAUAGAAAUACGCGACAAAUUGUCGCACUUUUCUACAUUUUUCUUUAUUGAAAUUCAUAAAUAAGUUAAAUAUAAAAAUGAAAACAUUUUUUGUCACCUUUAGAUCUAUCUGUCUUUAUUUAGUAAUCAGAAUUUCAUAAUUUAUCUUUGACCUUGGAAACUACAAAACACUACUAUUCUUACAAAAAUUAAUUAAACCUUUUUAUGAGGGUCUGGACAUGUUUGAGAUGCAUUGGAGAGAGAUUGUUUAGGACAGGGAGAAGUGGAAGAUCAGAGUGAAGGCCUUUGCCCAGCAAUGGUACAAUAAGGCUAGUAAAAAAAAAGUUUGCAUGGCUAGUAGUAGCCAACAAGUGAUUUUCAAUGGACUCUGGACCUAGCAGGUUUAUGUAUAUCUUUGAAGUCAUAGCAUUUAGAAGUACUGAAGUACUUAUAACAAUGGUGCUAAUUCAAGUACUCACCGCCUAAUUUUACUAGAAGUUAUAUCUGUCAUUUUCUUAUCCGCCGAAAAGGAAAGGGACGGGUAAUCGACAAGCAUAAAAUUUAUGGAACACACGUCAAUUUUAAACACAAAUCUAAAACAACCGUCUAAAAAUUCGCCCGGGUUAUUCAUUUAUUUACUCAUUCUUCCUAAAAUUAAGAGCUGUCAAUCAUCCGUCCCUUUCCUUUUCGGCGGAUAAGAAAAUGACAGGUAUAACUUAAAGUAAAAUUAAGAGAUGUCUGCAGGAAUCGGG
rnacentral:misc_RNA from 1 species